rnacentral:rRNA from 1 species
GACGGGGGGUCCUAGCGUUGUUCGGAAUCAUUGGGCGUAAAGCGGGUGUAGGUGGUUUUGUAAGUCGGGGGUGAAAGCCUGUGGCUCAACCACAGAAUUGCCUUCGAUACUGCAUGGCUUGAGACCGGAAGAGGUUAGUGGAACUGCGAGUGUAGAGGUGAAAUUCGUAGAUAUUCGCAAGAACACCAGUGGCGAAGGCGGCUGACUGGUCCGGUUCUGACGCUGAGGCGCGAAAGCGUGGGGAGCAAACAGG